CUCUUUCCUUCAUUCAUAACACUGAGAAAAUGGGUACCUUUUUCGUGCAUUAGUUUUGAGAACUAGAUGGAUAUGAGCGUGCCUGUCAGCUCAACGCUGGGUGCAGGGUGAGUGUGCUAAGCAAGGUGGUUUCCAUGGCUAUAGAAAUGCAUGCUAACUCCUACCUGGUCGGUCCCAGGUGGUCAGAGGUGACGGCAUCCGGAGGGGUCCCACCUCCAUUGUCUUAAUCUGGGGACUUUCUGUGACACAGUGCUGAGCAAAGCCUCCUCACUGCGAGUGGAUGAAGACCUUUAGGAUGACCCACUUCCUCUUCAUCAAUAGAGUGGCUCCUUGGUCCCCACCCUGUCCCUCCUGCUGGAGAUGCUGCAUACAAGGGCAUGAUGUCUGGAGUUCGAGCAUCCAUGUUGCCACCAUGAGGCAAGAAGUAUGAGGACACAAUUUCACUGGGCGGAAGAAUGACAAAGUCUGGAUUCUUGAUAUACUGUUGUCGUCUGAAGUUGCCUGGGACCGUAUAUUUCUGGUUAUCUGGUUACAUGAGCAAUACAUAUUCUUCUGGUUAAG
rnacentral:lncRNA from 1 species